rnacentral:rRNA from 1 species
AGUGAACGCUGGCGGUAGGCCUAACACAUGCAAGUCGAACGGCGGCACAGUAAGAGCUUGCUCUUACGGGUGGCGAGUGGCGGACGGGUGAGGAAUACAUCGGAAUCUACUUUUUCGUGGGGGAUAACGUAGGGAAACUUACGCUAAUACCGCAUACGACCUACGGGUGAAAGCAGGGGAUCUUCGGACCUUGCGCGAUUGAAUGAGCCGAUGUCGGAUUAGCUAGUUGGCGGGGUAAAGGCCCACCAAGGCGACGAUCCGUAGCUGGUCUGAGAGGAUGAUCAGCCACACUGGUACUGAGACACGGUCCAGACUCCUACGGGAGGCAGCAGUGGGGAAUAUUGGACAAUGGGCGCAAGCCUGAUCCAGCCAUACCGCGUGGGUGAAGAAGGCCUUCGGGUUGUAAAGCCCUUUUGUUGGGAAAGAAAAGCAGCAGGUUAAUACCCCGCUGUUCUGACGGUACCCAAAGAAUAAGCACCGGCUAACUUCGUG